GCAGUUUAUUUGGUUCCCUAAAUGAAGGAUAAGUGGCAUGAGGGCAGGGAGCAGAAGCCUAGGGAACAAAAUAGAGCCACAUACAUAACGGAACAUGUCCAGGCUGGCGGCUUCCGUCUCAGGACUCAGUGGUUCCUCGGUAUCUCCCUUUUGUCUGCGUUAGGAACAUAACUUUCUGUGCCCACAGUGGAGGAGCCUGGUUUGGAGAAAGAGACGGGCACAUGAAUUAUAGUUCCAGUUGCACUUUGGAAAUCCACACAGGAGCACGAGAACGUUCCCAAUCUAGUCCAAGGGGCUCAGGAAGCUUCCCCCGGAGGAACGACAGCCUUGAAAGGUUUUCAGAGAGAAAGGCCCGUGGCUCCUGGGACAUUCUCCAAGCGGGUUCCAUGCUCGGGAGAACGAGAUAUUUCUGCGGACACGCCGGCCACCUGCCCUUUCAGACGAAGGCCUCAAAUAAGGCACUCGAGUCCCAAACAUGGUACGUGCCAACGGUGGUGGAAACCGCUUUCCUCAUGGAGCCAGAUUGUCCCCUCGAACUCUUACAAGCUACCAAAACCAGUAUUUUAAGAAACAAUGGAAGCCAGGUCUUACUGCCGGCAUGAAAUACUCUGCGAGGCACCACCCUCAUGGUUAAACCAAAAACAGAAUAAAUGGUUUGCGGCGUCACAAAAAUUCUUUUUCAGUGGCGGGGGC
rnacentral:lncRNA from 1 species